AUAAUGGAGAGUUUGAUCCUGGCUCAGGACGAACGCUGGCGGCGUGCCUAAUACAUGCAAGUCGAGCGGAACCAUUGGAGCUUGCUCCAUUUGGUUUAGCGGCGGACGGGUGAGUAACACGUGGGCAACCU
rnacentral:rRNA from 1 species